rnacentral:rRNA from 1 species
AAUGCAUAGAAAUCUGCCCGGUAGUGGGGGAUAACCUGGGGAAACCCAGGCUAAUACCGCAUACGUCCUACGGGAGAAAGCAGGGGAUCUUCGGACCUUGCGCUAUCGGAUGAGUCUAUGUCGGAUUAGCUUGUUGGUGAGGUAAUGGCUCACCAAGGCGACGAUCCGUAGCUGGUCUGAGAGGAUGAUCAGCCACAUCGGGACUGAGACACGGCCCGAACUCCUACGGGAGGCAGCAGUGGGGAAUAUUGGACAAUGGGCGAAAGCCUGAUCCAGCCAUGCCGCGUGUGUGAAGAAGGCCUUCGGGUUGUAAAGCACUUUCAGUGGGGAAGAAAGCCUUGGGGCUAAUACCCUCGAGGAAGGACAUCACCCACAGAAGAAGCACCGGCUAACUCCGUGCCAGCAGCCGCGGUAAUACGGAGGGUGCGAGCGUUAAUCGGAAUUACUGGGCGUAAAGCGCGCGUAGGCGGUCUGAUAAGCCGGUUGUGAAAGCCCCGGGCUCAACCUGGGAACGGCAUCCGGAACUGUCAGGCUAGAGUGCAGGAGAGGAAGGUAGAAUUCCCGGUGUAGCGGUGAAAUGCGUAGAGAUCGGGAGGAAUACCAGUGGCGAAGGCGGCCUUCUGGACUGACACUGACGCUGAGGUGCGAAAGCGUGGGUAGCAAACAGGAUUAGAUACCCUGGUAGUCACGCCGUAAACGAUGUCGACUAGCCGUUGGGCUCCUUGAGAGCUUUGUGGCGCAGUUAACGCGAUAAGUCGACCGCCUGGGGAGUACGGCCGCAAGGUUAAAACUCAAAUGAAUUGACGGGGGCCCGCACAAGCGGUGGAGCAUGUGGUUUAAUUCGAUGCAACGCGAAGAACCUUACCUACCCUUGACAUCGUGCGAACUUUCCAGAGAUGGAUUGGUGCCUUCGGGAACGCACAGACAGGUGCUGCAUGGCUGUCGUCAGCUCGUGUUGUGAAAUGUUGGGUUAAGUCCCGUAACGAGCGCAACCCUUGUCCUUAUUUGCCAGCGAGUAAUGUCGGGAACUCUAAGGAGACUGCCGGUGACAAACCGGAGGAAGGUGGGGACGACGUCAAGUCAUCAUGGCCCUUACGGGUAGGGCUACACACGUGCUACAAUGGCCGGUACAAAGGGUUGCGAAGCCGCGAGGUGGAGCUAAUCCCGAAAAGCUGGUCUCAGUCCGGAUCGGAGUCUGCAACUCGACUCCGUGAAGUCGGAAUCGCUAGUAAUCGUGAAUCAGAAUGUCACGGUGAAUACGUUCCCGGGCCUUGUACAC